UAGCAGUUCAUUGCUUUUGUGGAUUUUAAUGUCUGACUUCUUGACUGGAUGCUUCUGGAGCCCAUGUGGACUGUGUCAUAUUCAUGUUAUUAUCUGUCAAGAAAAUCGCCACAUGGCAGAAGCCCUGGGUGCCAUUCACAAAGUACAUGGACCAGCACCCAGCACAGUGCCUGUGAAGGGUGUAUAUGCCGCCUGGAAAGAAACACACACAGAGAAAGGAUUGAAAUGUUAUUGCAUGUCUUCAUCCUCAUGCAAGGAGCCCAGAAAGAAUGUACAGCAAAAGUGAAGCCCCGUGCCUUGGUGGGCACCCUCCUGUGGCUUCCAGAUGUUACAGGUCUUGUUGAGGAUGAAGCUGGGGCUGGCUAUGGCUGCUCAUCCUUUUCUGCAUGCAAAACCAUGCUGUCAUCGCACUCAGCCUCCAGUCUACAAAAUAAUGAGGACUCCUUUAUGUGUGCCUUAGUCUAAAUGUAUUUGGAGCAUCAGCACCUUCAAAAACCCUUGCCUGCUGCCUGUGGGCCACGUUGGGAUUCUCACCCUCGCUGAGGCUCUGCAGGGUGGGAUAUAGGGGAGAGAGCAGACAUUGGAAACUGGCCAGGGGACUUCACAGGCCCAACAAAGAAUUUUUUAAAAGAGUUGAUUUGGUAAUAGGCAAAGGGGAAUUCCAUGGAUAAAUAAUAAUUUAUGCAAGGAAUGCCAUCUGCUUCUCUGGUGAAGCAUUAGUGUGUAAUUGCAGGCGCAAUUUCCUUCUAUUCCUUGCCCUUUACCAUUCAGCUCUUUAAGUAAUUAUAUUGACACCUCCUGAGCUGACUGUUUGGGUGGGUGGAGAGGCAUGGAGUGCCCAGCUUGAAUGUUGGCUGAAGAUAGUUUACCAUAAAACCAAAAUACUUAAUCGGAAUGCAUUAGAGGAUUAAGCACUAAAUAAGAGCAUAUUGGCAUUCUGGCCAGUAUAUCUGAAUGCUGUGCUGAUAAUUAAUAAAAAUUGGCUUCACUGGAGAUAUAAAAUUCUAAAUUAAAUUUGGUCUUUGAACAACAAAAAAAAUCUGCUAUGGGGUUCUCUAAUUAGAUUAGGAAUCGAAA